rnacentral:rRNA from 1 species
UACGUAGGGCGCAAGCGUUGUCCGGAAUUAUUGGGCGUAAAGAGCUCGUAGGCGGCUUGUCACGUCGAUUGUGAAAACCCGGGGCUCAACUCCGGGCUUGCAUUCGAUACGGGCAGGCUAGAGUUCGGUAGGGGAGUCUGGAAUUCCUGGUGUAGCGGUGAAAUGCGCAGAUAUCAGGAGGAACACCGGUGGCGAAGGCGGGACUCUGGGCCGAUACUGACGCUGAGGAGCGAAAGCGUGGGGAGCGAACAGG